CGCUUUCUGAUUUUAUCUCACACUUAUCGUGACCCUUUGAGACCGAAUUUGUUGGCAGAGAAGGCUAGGUGCUAGGUGAUUGAAAGGCGCGCUACAGGGCUGCCGCCAGGCCCCUGAGUGAAGGAAUGCGACUGUUAAAACGUGUGGAUCUGGGGGUACAGCAGGAGAGGGCACUGAAUCAGUGUGAGCACUGAGAGAGCCUCAGGAUGAAGAAUACACCAAGGGUGAUCUUUACAUUUACUAUCAUCAUCUACACCAAUAUAAGGGGCAAGAUAUGUUCAUAGUUUCCUGAAUGUUUAUGGUUAAUGCUUUCAAGUUGGUGCUUCCUUCCUGAAGUGUAAGCUCACAUUUAUCACUCUCUUUACACAGAAC
ensembl:lncRNA